GAUGAACGCUGGCGGCGUGCCUAAUACAUGCAAGUCGAGCGAACGGACGAGAAGCUUGCUUCUCUGAUGUUAGCGGCGGACGGGUGAGUAACACGUGGAUAACCUACCUAUAAGACUGGGAUAACUUCGGGAAACCGGAGCUAAUACCGGAUAAUAUUUUGAACCGCAUGGUUCAAAAGUGAAAGACGGUCUUGCUGUCACUUAUAGAUGGAUCCGCGCUGCAUUAGCUAGUUGGUAAGGUAACGGCUUACCAAGGCAACGAUGCAUAGCCGACCUGAGAGGGUGAUCGGCCACACUGGAACUGAGACACGGUCCAGACUCCUACGGGAGGCAGCAGUAGGGAAUCUUCCGCAAUGGGCGAAAGCCUGACGGAGCAACGCCGCGUGAGUGAAGAAGGUCUUCGGAUCGUAAAACUCUGUUAUUAAGGAAGAACGAAUGUGUAAGUAACUAUGCACGUCUUGACGGUACCUAAUCAGAAAGCCACGGCUAACUACGUGCCAGCAGCCGCGGUAAUACGUAGGUGGCAAGCGUUAUCCGGAAUUAUUGGGCGUAAAGCGCGCGUAGGCGGUUUUUUAAGUCUGAUGUGAAAGCCCACGGCUCAACCGUGGAGGGUCAUUGGAAACUGGAAAACUUGAGUGCAGAAGAGGAAAGUGGAAUUCCAUGUGUAGCGGUGAAAUGCGCAGAGAUAUGGAGGAACACCAGUGGCGAAGGCGACUUUCUGGUCUGUAACUGACGCUGAUGUGCGAAAGCGUGGGGAUCAAACAGGAUUAGAUACCCUGGUAGUCCACGCCGUAAACGAUGAGUGCUAAGUGUUAGGGGGUUUCCGCCCCUUAGUGCUGCAGCUAACGCAUUAAGCACUCCGCCUGGGGAGUACGACCGCAAGGUUGAAACUCAAAGGAAUUGACGGGGACCCGCACAAGCGGUGGAGCAUGUGGUUUAAUUCGAAGCAACGCGAAGAACCUUACCAAAUCUUGACAUCCUCUGACCCCUCUAGAGAUAGAGUUUUCCCCUUCGGGGGACAGAGUGACAGGUGGUGCAUGGUUGUCGUCAGCUCGUGUCGUGAGAUGUUGGGUUAAGUCCCGCAACGAGCGCAACCCUUAAGCUUAGUUGCCAUCAUUAAGUUGGGCACUCUAAGUUGACUGCCGGUGACAAACCGGAGGAAGGUGGGGAUGACGUCAAAUCAUCAUGCCCCUUAUGAUUUGGGCUACACACGUGCUACAAUGGACAAUACAAAGGGUAGCGAAACCGCGAGGUCAAGCAAAUCCCAUAAAGUUGUUCUCAGUUCGGAUUGUAGUCUGCAACUCGACUACAUGAAGCUGGAAUCGCUAGUAAUCGUAGAUCAGCAUGCUACGGUGAAUACGUUCCCGGGUCU
rnacentral:rRNA from 1 species